GGAAGAGCGGAGUCCCCGCGGCGGCGGCGGCGGUCCGGGCUACCCGCGCGCGAGCUGCCACCUUCUUGGAGAAGGACCACACCUGUGCUUAUUCUCGCUUUGGAGGAGAGAUGUAGGAAUAAAAGCUCUGAGUAUGGUGGACUCUGCGGAAAAGAGGAGUUUGUUUCUGGAGCAGCUCAGAACUGCUCUAGAACUUGAGGACGGUGAGAAUCUUUGGUGUUGCCCUCUUCAGUUGUCCAUGCAGGGCAUCCGAGAAUCUAAGACCCAGAAUCUUUAAACGGUAGUGCUGCAAUAAUGAGGAGGUCAUAGAUUAAUUAGAGACCGUUAGGGUGUUUAGAGAUGGUUAGCCAGGGGUAUAUCAUCUUGACUAGUUAUCUUAAAAUAUUUAAUACAGAGGUGAAAUCAGAAUAAAACUGACUUGUGAAUAGACUAUAAAAUCCAAAAUCUGGGGGGAAAUUGAGCCUAGAACAAAAUCAGAAAGCAAAAUAACUGUGGAAUAGACAGCUGGACUGCAAGUAUGUAUGCUGAGUGUGUGUAUAUAAGAGGAAAAGGUUAAUAAUAGAAUUUAUGGGCUGAUCCAUUUAUUCGUAACUUUUUAGUCUUCUGUAGCCUUUUUGGACUAAAAUCCCUGUUAGCAUAAGGAGAACACUUGUUCUUUCUCCCUCUACCUUAUUGUGUCCAUACUUUUUUUGAUAGGGCUUUUCCUCGAGUCGGAUCUGUUAGGGAAAUGCAGUAGGAGAUGGUUUAGGGGCCACUGCUGGGAGUGGGUAAAACAUGACACUCCUUUCUAAUUACUCCCAGUUAAUGCUGCUUCGCGAGAAUUGGGGUGGACGGUGCACUGCAUGGGGCAGCGGUCCUUGGCUUCUCCUCGCCUUUUGAGCCAGUUUCUUUCUUCUUAAGAAAAAAAU